UCUGUGUCAGGCAGCUGCAGCACUGCACCCCUGAGCUGCUCAUUGAUCAAUCCUGUUCCAAUCAAAACCUGAUGGACGGCCACUUUUAUUGAUCUGAGUAGGAAGACUCUGGAAACGGAGUGGAGAUGCAGAGGAUUUUUAAACCAGACUGACAAAUCCUGAACAUACAAGUAAACACUGUAACUUUCAGCCAGCCAGCCAACAUCCAGAAACAAGACAUUCUAAGGAAGAAAAUACCAUCAGCAGCAGAAUCCACCCCUGAAAGCAGGUCCAGUGCAAGGACUGGAUUCCAAGGAGCUCUGCAAGCCACACAGGGCUGCCAGAAAAAGGGAACAAGUGCUGCCCUGCAAAGCAGUCAGCGUGAGCUGCGUCCUGCCACACACCUCACAGCAUCAGGCCAAAAUUAUUCCCUCAUCUCCCAUGUGAAGGACUCCAGAGGUGUUCCAGCUGGCCAAAAGGCUGCCAAAUUCCUCUGCAGCUCUACUGCAGGACUCUGCCCAUUCCCCUUCCUGCUGGGAUUCCAGAAGCACUUUCUGGUUGCAAGAGUGAACAGCAGGAAUUGUGGUGAAUCAAGAGGACUCAAACCUGUGCUGAAGUUCGUGCCCCUCUGGGGUUCCACAACACUGAGUCAUUUAUUUGCCUUUUCAUCUCUUUGCCUUCCUUGCCAAGACCUGCCCUGCUGAAAUGAUCACCUGCCCCAUCACUUUUUUCAUCAGGGUGUCACACCUGCCCUGUAAGCUCUGCCCCCCUGCUCGGUCAGGGGGGCUCUGCUGAAGGUGGGAGUCUGGCUCUGCUAGGAUUCACAUCUACACUCACAGCCUGCUUCCAAUGGAAAUGUAGAGGAUUCUUUUCUGGAGCAUGCACAGGAAAUCCCUGGAUGGUGACAUUUGGAAUUGGGGUCGGGAAAGGCUGCUCUCUGCAGGUCUUGGAGCACACAGCCCUUUCUGGAAGCCAGCAUGAUCAUGGAGACAAGUG